AUUAUUCAAUCUCUGGUACAAGGAUUGGUCGCUCCAUACAAGAUAGCAAUGGGUGUAGCCUAAGGUAUCUGCUACCUUCACCAAGACUGUGACCUUGUUAUCGUGUACCGUGAUUUGAAACUUAGUACUAUCUUGUUAGAUGCUGAGACGGAAGUUGUUGAUUUUGGUGUCGCCAAGUUGUUCCAAAUCGAUGAGUCCAUGUCUGUCAUUGUCGGUUCUUAUGGCUACAUUGUGCCAGGUGCUCGAUCAAGACUCGAGAGAAAUAUUCCGGUGCAAAUAAUUCAGAGAUCAUCUUGAACAGGGAUUUCUCUCUACCUGUUUUGCCUUCUAAUAUAUUAGUAUGUCUUGGCUUUACUAACUGUUUGAGAUCAGACACUUUUUGGAUAUAUGGUGUUCUCCUGCAAGGUAGAUUUCAAUUUCUUGCUCAGCGACCUUCUCUAUUUUCUACCUUGGAAGAAAUAGAAGUUGAAGGAAUUUUGCAUGGUUUGAAGAUGGCGAAUGCAAAGGGUUGGACUAUCUCUAAAGUUUGGUUCUCUUCCAAGGCAUUACUUCAGCUUAUUCUGACGCCCUCUGACUGCAGCUGACCUCUCUAUAGUAUUGGUUCAUUUUGGGACCUUUAUAAGACUUUUGGGCAUAUUAAGUUUCUAUAUAAAUGUAGGGAUUCUAACAUUCCUAUGUUAUAUUUACAGACCUUAUGUAACUUAGAUAGGGGAGAGAGUAGUACUCUUUCUAUGUAAUGAGUUUUUCUUCUUUUGUUGAUCCAAAAAUAAAAGGUGAGGAGCUUCCCAACUACAUUGCUCUUGCAAA